rnacentral:rRNA from 1 species
AACGAACGCUGGCGGCAUGCCUAACACAUGCAAGUCGAACGAGACCUUCGGGUCUAGUGGCGCACGGGUGCGUAACGCGUGGGAACCUGCCCUUAGGUUCGGAAUAACUCCCCGAAAGGGGUGCUAAUACCGGAUAAUGUCUUCGGACCAAAGCUUUAUCGCCUUUGGAUGGGCCCGCGUUGGAUUAGCUAGUUGGUAGGGUAAAAGCCUACCAAGGCGACGAUCCAUAGCUGGUCUGAGAGGAUGAUCAGCCACACUGGGACUGAGACACGGCCCAGACUCCUACGGGAGGCAGCAGUGGGGAAUAGUGGACAAUGGGCGAAAGCCUGAUCCAGCAAUGCCGCGUGAGUGAUGAAGGCCUUAGGGUUGUAAAGCUCUUUUACCCGGGAUGAUAAUGACAGUACCGGGAGAAUAAGCGCCGGCUAACUCCGUG